GUUCGCUGUGAUGCUUCAGUUGUAACCAUGCUAAUUCUGAUCAAAUGAUGAUUGGAACCAUUUAUGAUAAUUUCUGAGGGACA